GAUGAAGAACGUAGCGAAAUGCGAUAAGUAGUGUGAAUUGCAGAAUUCAGUGAAUCAUCGAAUCUUUGAACGCACAUUGCGCCUUCUAGUAUUCUGGGAGGCAUGCCUGUUUGAGCGUCAUUAAACCUCUCUCAAGUAUGAUUACUUGGAUGUGAAGGAAGAGUACCUUAAACUUAAGGAGUGUUCUCCUUUGAAAUUGAUUAGCAGAUGGUAAUGUUAUUAAAUCCCUGAUGUUGUAAGAAAUAACAGUGGUUUUGUAGACUAUUAUCUAGCUUUAAAUUAUAAUUUUUAUUAUGGUUGACCUCAAAUCAGGUAAGGAUACCCGCUGAACUUAAGCAUAUCAAAAGCGGAGGA
rnacentral:misc_RNA from 1 species